AAACUGUAGAGUUGCAAAGGAAAAAAGCGAAAGGCUGAGGGCGACGGCUUCUCUGUCCGUCUUUCAACUCUACUCCUCCCUCUUCCCCAUCCUCGAUCGACUGAUCAAUUGAUGCUCCACCGCCCUGUGUGUGCAGAAGGAAGAAAAGAAAAAGAAACAAGAUAGUCAUGCUUGGCA
rnacentral:ribozyme from 1 species